rnacentral:rRNA from 1 species
AUAGAUCAUAGUGCCUGGAAUGGCUUAUGGUCCAAACAGUUUACUGCCAUGGGAUGGGACUGCGGCCUAUCAGCUUGUUGGUGAGGUAAUGGCCCACCAAGGCGAUUACAGGUACGGGCUCUGAGAGGAGAAGCCCGGAGAUGGGUACUGAGACACGGACCCAGGCCCUAUGGGGCGCAGCAGGCGAGAAACCUUAGCAAUGUGCGAAAGCACGACUGGGUCAGUCCGAGUGAUUCCUGAUAAAGGAGUCUUUUGCCUGUCCUAAAAACACAGGUGAAUAAGGGGUGGGCAAGUCUGGUGUCAGCCGCCGCGGUAAUACCAGCACCUCGAGUGGUCAGGACGUUUAUUGGGCCUAAAGCAUCCGUAGCCGGCGCUGCAAGUCUUCGGUUAAAUCCACCUGCUCAACAGAUGGGCUGCUGGAGAUACUACAGCGCUAGGGAGUGGGAGAGGCAGACGGUAUUCAGUGGGUAGGGGUAAAAUCCUCUGAUCCAUUGAGGACCACCAGUGGCGAAGGCGGUCUGCCAGAACACGUUCGACGGUGAGGGAUGAAAGCUGGGGGAGCAAACCGGAUUAGAUACCCGGGUAGUCCCAGCUGUAAAC